rnacentral:rRNA from 1 species
GGGGGAACUGAAACAUCUCAGUACCCCGAGGAAAAGAAAUCAACCGAGAUUCCCCUAGUAGCGGCGAGCGAACGGGGAGCAGCCCAGAGUCUUAAUCAGCAUCAGCAUCAGGAGAACGGUCUGGAAAGUCCGGCAGUAAAGGGUGAUAGCCCCGUAUCCGAAGGUGUUGGUGUUGUGAACUCGAUGAGUAGGGCGGGACACGUGUUAUCCUGUCUGAAUAUGGGGGGACCAUCCUCCAAGGCUAAAUACU